UCUCAGCUCAGAUGAAGAAGAAGAGAUCUACACCAUGCCACUCCUUCACUCAUCAGCCUAACAGCAUGUCUAACCCCUUCACCAUCUCCAAGCAGAGUACGCUUCAAAUCGUUAUCAACGCCUCCACUACCAGGACCACAGUCAUUAAAUUAUGAAAUUAAUCAGUUUUAUUUGUCAUUAGAGGAAAUUAAGGAUUUUGAAUUCAUCAAAUUUACAUCGACUAUGAUUAAAAACUAAUAAAUGUAAUUUAAUUUAAUUUAGUUACAGAAGAGUCUGCAACGCAAAUGAGUUGACGAACUGAUAUAUUUGAAGUAAUUGUUUGAAUUGCAAACUACACGUGAUCUACUGUCAAUUUGUAAUUGAAUAAAUAAAAUUUUAUGUUGUCUAUCUUUUCAAAUUUUAUGAGUAAUUCUUUACCGUUAGUUGAGUCAAUACGACAGCAUAAAAAUCUGUUUCCUGACAAAACCGUGGCAACUCUUUCCCACGAAAAACAUAUUGUCUUUAAUAUUCUCCAAAAUUUUUGAGAGCCAUAAAAUUUCGACGGAUGUCCUCUUCCCAAGAAUGCAUGUAGACCCUUUUUUUUUCUAUGUCGCGUCACAGCGAUGGGCCCAACUUAGCCAUGUGCAACGCGGCAAAUUCCGAAAUAAUUUACACCCCGCAAUAGUUUUUUUUCCAACCAGAAAAUUUUCUUUUCCCCCUCUUCCUACAAGGGAACAAUGGCACCCACUCUUCAGUUUUGUACUGGAAGAUUUUCAGUAAUUUAGUACACCAAAAGAUUUCAACGAGACAACGAGAUACAACCCUCUGUUGUAACUAUCCCAAAAUCCAAUACAACAUCUACCGUGCAAGAGUAUUGACAAUAAAUUUUUAAUUUGUGUGUUGUGUGUGAAGCAAUUUAUUAAAUUUGUGAUUAACAGUUCUUGUAAAUUUAAAAGAAAAGAUUUAUUAAAAUAUAUCGUGUGUUUUUUUGUGAAUUGUGCACAAUACACGGAUAGAAUAUUUCUAAGGAGUAACAAUGACGCAAAAGAAGGGAUUUCAAGGAAAGGAUUACGAGUAUUAUUUAGUCCAUUUUUAUGAAGAUGGAAUCGAGGGAAUUUUUGACGUAGCUCUUCAGAAAUGGAUCACCUGGAAUGAUGAAGAGAACCUAUUCUACUGCAAAUUUCACGCAGGGGAUAGUGAGAAAGAAAAAGAACUGACCACAUCCUUAUUGAAGAACGCUCAAUUACCUCCCAAACAUUGGAAAAAAUAUCCAAUAAAAAUCAGAGGAGGAGCAAACACAUAUGAAGCAGCACUGGAACGAUUGAUUCGUUUGAAGGACGAUCCUUACGGUUUCAGUACCUCAAACGAAUCAUAUGGAAAAACGCAGAUCGAUGAUCUGCGAAAAAAACUCCAGAGAAGAAGAGUAAUUCCCAAACCAGGACGAAAUUGAAGACCUUUUUUCUGGCGUUAUAGACGCUGACGAAUCUUGUACCGGCUUAUCGUCAGAGGUGGAUUCUGAUAGUUAUGGUGAGAAUAAUAAUUAUUUCAUGUAUGGAAAAA